rnacentral:rRNA from 1 species
GACGAACGCUGGCGGCGUGCCUAAUACAUGCAAGUCGAGCGCAGGAAACUGACGGAACUCUUCGGAGGGAAGGCAGUGGAAUGAGCGGCGGACGGGUGAGUAACACGUAAGGAACCUGCCUCAAGGAUUGGGAUAACUCCGAGAAAUCGGAGAUAAUACAGGAUAGUUCAACGGACCGCAUGGUCCGCUGAUGAAAGGCGCCACGGAGUCACCUUGAGAUGGCCCUGCGGUGCAUUAGCUAGUUGGGGGGGUAACGGCCCACCAAGGGGACGAUCCAUAGCCGACCUGAGAGGGUGAUCGGCCACACUGGGACUGAGGCACGGCCCAAACACCUACGGGAGGCAGCAGUAGGGAAUCUUCCACAAUGGACGAAAGUCUGAUGGAGCAACGCCGCGUGAGUGAUGAAGGUUUUCGGAUCGUAAAACUCUGUUGUAAAGGAAGAACACGUACGAGAGGAAAUGCUCGUACCUUGACGGUACCUUACGAGAAAGCCACGGCUAACUACGUGCCAGCAGCCGCCGUAACAC